rnacentral:rRNA from 1 species
AUUGAACGCUGGCGGCAGGCCUAACACAUGCAAGUCGAGCGGCAGCGGGAAAGUAGCUUGCUACUUUUGCCGGCGAGCGGCGGACGGGUGAGUAAUGCCUGGGAAAUUGCCCAGUCGAGGGGGAUAACAGUUGGAAACGACUGCUAAUACCGCAUACGCCCUACGGGGGAAAGCAGGGGACCUUCGGGCCUUGCGCGAUUGGAUAUGCCCAGGUGGGAUUAGCUAGUUGGUGAGGUAAUGGCUCACCAAGGCGACGAUCCCUAGCUGGUCUGAGAGGAUGAUCAGCCACACUGGAACUGAGACACGGUCCAGACUCCUACGGGAGGCAGCAGUGGGGAAUAUUGCACAAUGGGGGAAACCCUGAUGCAGCCAUGCCGCGUGUGUGAAGAAGGCCUUCGGGUUGUAAAGCACUUUCAGCGAGGAGGAAAGGUCGGUAGCUAAUAUCUGCUGACUGUGACGUUACUCGCAGAAGAAGCACCGGCUAACUCCGUGCCAGCCGCCGCAGUAAGAC